AUCAGGUUUAGGAUUUCUCUGUGGAAU
rnacentral:misc_RNA from 1 species